AUGAGUUUUUGUUUCUGUCAUCUGCUUUUUGUGUCACUCUUUCAUUGGAAGUGUGUUUCCUUUCAGAACAUGCUGUCCAGUCAGGUCCUGGUCAACGGUCUGCACGUGACAGACCAGCCCUUCCUGGGAGUGUUGAAACUUUGGGGUGCGGGAACCACAAAGAUCAUAUCAGCAAGUCUGAUUUCAGAUAAUGGGGAAUGGACUCUGACCCCUGAACACAACAUGGACACACAGGAGCUGAUUAUCGACGCCACAAGCCUGUCAGCUAGCAUGUCUCAACCUUUCAGUGUGACAUGGAGGAUCUGAUUGAAAACGCUUCUAAUGAGGAGUUCAUGAAAAAUUAAAUUUGUUUUUGAGAUGGAAUGAUCGUGUAAAAUAGAUCUAAUGAUGAUUGACAGUUCAUGGCAGGACUUUUCGCUAUGUUUCUGUAACCUAUUCGAGUACUGACUGCUCAACCACUUUAUCCAAUCAUUCAUUUCAAUAAAUACCCAAGAAUGGACUCUGUGUGUGUGUGUGUGUGUGUGUUUGUGUGUGUGUCAGAGAGAGAGUGGCACUUACACACGGACAGAAAGAGAGAGAGUCUCUGGUGUUUGUGUUUUUGGAGUGUUGGAGGAAACUGGAGGAAAGCCUCUUGACCCCCUCAUGAGACCCACAACCUUAUGGUAUACCAGUCGUCAGCUGUACCAGUCUCAUGUUUUACCUUAUGGUACACCUGAGGACUGGUGUACCACAAGGUUGUUGGUCUCAUAUGAGGGUUUAUAUGAGGGGUCGCCAGCUGAAUCUGUCAGAAUCUACAGGACACAAACGUGUGUUUCAUAUUCUGCUCUAAAGUAUUCAGACACACCCAGCCUCUCUUUUACAUGGCCAACAGAUCGCUCGUUCGUCUUAGCAUGAAUCCAUCCAGAAAAAUAUGCAUUUAAAUCAACCUCAAUAACACUGAGUCUUUGUUACCACGGAGACUAUCAGAUAAAGGGUGUUAUACAUGAAAGAAAUGCAUAAAUACAGAAAUGCUUUUAACUCUAAUUCAGGCUCUCACUGUUGGACUCAUUGGAACCAGGAAGAGGGUGGCAGUCUUCAGACAGGUGGGGGCAGCUGCCUGGCUGAGGGAGGGGUUAAGUACAGUAUAUCCAUCAACACCCCAGAUAGAUGGUCUGCAGAAUCCAUCAGCGCACACCCAGGGAUGUUGUCUGGGCUAUAACCGUUAGGAGUUUUCCCUAGUGUGAGCCCUCCCCCUCCCUUUCUGUUUUCUUUUGGCUGUCUAGUUUAAGGUCUAGUGGGGCUGCGCUGCAGUUCUCUCUUUUCAACCGGCACACCUGAAUCUCAUCUCGGGACAAUCAUCCACACCUCCCUUGUGUUUUAAAAAGACUGGUACACACUUCCAUCUUUGCUGAUUUGUUGGUCAGCCCUCUAUGGUACAGUGUGGCUCUUAAAUGCUCUGGAUCACCUGUAAGCUCUUGGAUUCUUGUUUCUACCUUGGAACUCAUACUCUGUUUGUUCUGCAGAUCAACCUACCAGACGCCUGUUCGUGCUGCACAGACUGACCUGACUGUGUUUCCUGAGUUUCCCCACCUAAGAGUUCUCUGCAGAUAACUUAACACCAAACCUUCAGUAAAGCUUUUUAUCAAUCAUCCUUGGCUGUC
rnacentral:lncRNA from 1 species